rnacentral:lncRNA from 1 species
ACACACAAACACACACCAUUUUCAAUAUGCAUAUUCAUAUUGUUACAUGACCAAUGACAAUGUUUGACAAUUUCUUUUCUUCUUUUUUUCUUUUUAAAGAAUAUGUUACCUACAAUUCAUAAGAGCUGUAACGACAUGCUAAGGAAAUGGGAGAUGUCGUUUUCAAAGGAUGAGUCCUGUGAGUUAGAUGUGUGGCCUCAUAUUCAAACUUUGACAGCGGAUGUGAUUUCUCGAACAGCAUUCGGCAGUAACUUUGAAGAAGGAAGAAAAAUAUUUGAAGUCCUAAGCGAACAAAUUAAUCUUGUAAUUCAAGCUUCAUUGUUUGCUUAUAUUCCAGGAUGGAGGUAAUUUUAAUUAUUAAUCAACUUAAAUUAUUCCUCGUAGUACUCUUGGUGACCUGAGCUGUGUUAAUUUUUUAAAGAUCUUAUAUCAUGUGUGUGUUUAUAGCACUGCAUAAGAUUAAAAGUGGUCUUCUAAAAAAAGAAUCCUUAUCAUUAUAGUGUAGAAAAGUGUUGUCAAAUGUUUUAGCGUAUGAAUAAUUUCCACGUGCCUUGCACUUAAUUAUGAGAAUGGUUUAUUGGUAGGUUUGUGCCUAAUAAACUGAACAGAAAAUUGAACAGCAACCACAAUGAAAUGGGAGAACUGGUAAAAGGUAUCGUUAACAAAAGAAAGGAAGCUCUGAAAUUUGGAAAAGCCAGCAAUAAUGAUGACUUAUUGGGUAUAUUGAUGGAAUCAAAUCACAAAGAGAUUCAGGAGAAGGAAACUGGAAUGAGUAUUGAAGAGGUGAUUGAAGAGUGCAAGCUGUUCUAUCUAGCUGGGCAGGAAACUACUGCAUCAUUGCUUGUGUGGACAAUGGUUUUGUUAUGCAUACAUCCUGAAUGGCAAGAACGAGCAAGGGAAGAGGUUUGUCAAGUUUUUGGAAAUAGAGAACCAAAAUUUGAAGAGCUGAACCAGUUCUGCUGUACGGCCAAGGCGGAUGUACGGUACAGCAGAUAUUAAAUAUAAUUUAAAUUUUUUUAAGAAUAAUUAAAAAAUAUAUAUAUUUUUAAAUAUUUUUAUAUUGGUCUUAGUUGACCGAAAUUAUUUAUAACCCUAAUUCCAGUGUAUGGUGCAGGUAAGAAAAUUGAGUUCUAUACAAGGUACUUAGAUUGUGCAGUAGUUAUGGCCAUGGGGUUUGGUUACUGGAAAUGAUAAAACCUACAAAAAUGUCGAGGGUUCAAAUCCCUUCUUAUACAGGGAAUGGGAAGGGAUUUGUUAUAUAUGUAUGUAAUAUUUUAAAAAAUCAAAGUUUAAAAUUAACUAGUAGUGAUAGCUUAUUUUGCAAACCAAAAGACGGGAAAUCCAGUGAAAUUUAGAACCUUAACUAAUUUUUUUUUUUUCCCCCUCCCAAAUGAUUCCGUUUUCUGUUGCAGGUAAGCCAAAUUCUGUACGAGGUACUGAGGUUAUAUUCACCAGCACCUCUGCUUACUCGAGCUAAUGUUAAGGAGAUUAAGCUAGGAGAAAUUGUUAUACCACCUGGAGUUUUACUUUCAUUGCCAAUAAUGCUUGUUCAUCAUGAUCAUGAAUACUGGGGCGAUGAUGCAAAAAAGUUCAACCCAGAUAGGUUUUCAGAAGGAGUCUCAAACGCAUCGAAGAAUCAAAUUUCAUUCUUCUCAUUUGGUUGGGGUCCUCGAAUCUGCCUUGGACAAAACUUUGCUCUGUUGGAAUCGAAAUUAGCUUUAGCAAUGAUUUUGCAGAAGUUCACUUUCCAGCUUUCACCAACUUAUAUGCAUGCUCCUACUCGUGGGGUAACUGUAUAUCCACAGCAUGGUGCUAAUAUCAUUUUACACAAAAUUUAGUAUGCAUUACUAUCGCAAGUAUUCAGAAUUCAUGCCAUAUAGUAUAUGUAGAGCAAGAACUUUAUUAUUUUGAUUUACCGUUUUAAAUUUUCUCAGUACUCUUCUUUCCAAUAAAUUUAGAGAUGCAAUUUUUUUUUUUUUUAUUUAGUGUACAAAGCUGAUUAGGCCUCUUGUGGUGAAAGCAAAAAAAUAAAAACAAAUUAACUUUUCGUGUUUAAAAAAAAUUAAAUUUAAUUUAAAAAAAUAAAAAUUAUUUUUAAAAAUGUGAGUCAACCAUUUUUUUUUUUGUUUUUGCAAGCUCAAGCCUAGUCGAAUCUAGAGUGGGUGAAAAACAGGGCCCAAAUCUUGGCUCUACACAUUGGACCUAAAUGAAAUCCUAACGGUCCAAUCUGGACGAAGUUCAUGCUGAGGAAAAGAGAAAUAAAUAUGACAGAUCAAUAGUUUUGAAGCGUUUAUAACACUUUUUUUAAAGGCUUUUUUUGAGUGUUUGUAGAUCGAAUUUUACAGAUUAGACAUUAAUUUAUAUUCGAUUAAUAAUUUUACGGAUUUUAAAUUGUCAAUCUAAUCAAAUCCAUAAAUUGGUGAAAUUCAUUUAAGUCCAAUUCAUGUGUCUGCAAAUCACAUGCGGAUUUGAUCCAAUACUUAUCUAAUCCACCAUUUUACAAAUUAGUUUAAAAUUUUAUAAUUCUGUCAAAUCCACAAACUAAUUAAAUAAAAAAUUUUAAUAUAAAAAUAAUUUUACUAUCGAUCAAAUUCAAAAUUGAAUAAGAUUUAAAUAAAUUAAUUGUUUAAAUAAAGUUAGAAUAAUGCAUUUAGAGUUUUAAAAUAUACCACAUCGAAAAGAAAAAAAUCUCAUUUGUUUAGAUUAAUACAUAAAAAUUAACUGAAAUUAUGAAAAUUAACUAUUUAGGAAUUGUUUUGUCUUGCUUGACCCAAGGAAGAGGAAUUGUUUUGUCUUACCUUUGGUUGAAUACCGAUUAUUAUUAUUUGGCGAGACCAAUUAAUUGUUUAUACAUACUUAAAAAAUAAUUUUGUCCAACCUUUUAAUUACAUUUUAUUAUAGGUAAUUAUGUAUAAACUAAAGUUAGUAUGUCGCAUACAAUUAAAAAAAAAAAAAGAGUGCCCCGCACAUAUGACAAAGUAGUAAUGGAAAUUAAUUAUAAGCUACCCAAAUUUUGAGAUGGCUAAAUAUUUUUAAAUAAAAUAAAAUUAAAAGGCUUGUAAUUGGCCAAUUUGUGAAAAUAAUAAUUGAUGACAAACAAGUUAGACAAAUUUGUCUAUACAAAGGAUUGUGGAUGAGAGAAUUAUUUGAAAAGUCAGUCAAUCCCUUUAUAUGCAAAUUGAUGUGAUCAAGUUACAUAUAUAAAUUCUAACAAAGUGUUUGUGAUUCUACCAUUACUCAUUUAGAAAUUGUGUUCAAUUCUAGCCGAUCAUUUUAUAAAUUGUUGAAAAGCAAAAAUCUGGAAAAGUCUAGUCACAGGAGUUAAAAUUUUAUCUAGAUAAAAUAGUAAUAACAAAAUAUGUUGGUUAAAAUUAGUGAAAAUAAAACAUUCAACUAAUAUUUUUUUUAAUUUUGUCAAUGCCUUAGGAAAUAAAUUACUUGGUCAUAAAAAAUACAAAGUUGUCUAAGACAAAACUUUUAGUUACUAUUUUUAGUUUUGUCACCAUAAUAACUCAUCUACGACUAAAAAACAAGAUCUUAAAAUUAUAAUAAAUCAAAAUAGCUUUAGAGACUAAUAUUANNNNNNNNNNNNNNNNNNNNNNNNNNNNNNNNNNNNNNNNNNNNNNNNNNNNNNNNNNNNNNNNNNNNNNNNNNNNNNNNNNNNNNNNNNNNNNNNNNNNNNNNNNNNNNNNNNNNNNNNNNNNNNNNNNNNNNNNNNNUUUUUUCAGGGGCCCAAACGCUAAAAGGUGGGGGAGAAGCAAGCCGAACCUCUGAUCGACCUAGACAUAUAAAAAAUUCUCGGCGUCGAGAGAGAUUUGAGAUUCCGUAAGUAACUCAGUCUGCUGUACGGCCAAGGCGGAUGUACGGUACAGCAGAUAAAAUAUGGUGUUCACCUGUUUUUAAAAAUCAUUUUCUUCGCAUUACGUGUCUUUUAACGCGUUAUAAAAACAUUCGUCUCGGAAGAAGAGUAAUGCAUACUUAAGAAAAAAAAAUUGAAAAAACUAAAGGAUCCUUUUUUUUUAAUUAUAACAAGAUGAAGAUGCCAUAAAAUAAAAUAAAUUUUGCCUUUUUUUUUUCUAAGAAUAAUAAAAACAAAAAAACAUGAUAAGUUGAAACAUUCUAAUCCGUAACCCUUAUUGCUAAAAUUACAGGUAAGAAUUCUUUCAUAUGGAUGGGUCCAAGACCAAACAUACACAUCACAGACCCUAAAAUGAUAAGGGAAAUUUUUUUGAAGUAUGAUAUCUUUCAAAAACCGAGAAGCCCACUUGUGAAGUUGCUGGUCACUGGGAUGGCGGACUAUGCUGGUGAACAGUGGUUUAAAGUCAGAAAAAUUGCCACUCCAGCUUUCCAUCAUGAUAAGUUGAAGGUUCGUUUUCACCUUUAUAGUUCGUUUAAUCACACACACACACCAUUUUCAAUAUGCCUGUUCAUAUUGUUACCUGACCUAUAACAUUGUUUGACAAUUUCUUCCAUUUUUUUUCAUAAGAAUAUGUUACCUACAAUUCAUAAGAGCUGUAACGACAUGCUGAGGAAAUGGGAGAUUUCGGUUUCAAAGGAUGAGUCCUGUGAGUUAGAUGUGUGGCCUCAUAUUCAAACUUUGACAGC